ACAGAGCCUUAGUAGUAUAACGAAUACACUGGUCUUGUAAACCGG
rnacentral:tRNA from 1 species